AGUCAUAUGCUUGUCUCAAAGAUUAAGCCAUGCAUGUCUCAGUACAAGCCAAAUUAAGGUGAAACCGCGAAAGGCUCAUUAAAUCAGUUAUGGUUCCUUAGAUCGUACCCACAUUACUUGGAUAACUGUGGUAAUUCUAGAGCUAAUACAUGCCAACAGAACUCUGACCGGAGACGGAAGGAGUGCCUUUAUUAGAUCAAAACCAAUCGGUGGCGCGGCUCCGGUCGCGUCAUCGUACAAUAUGAUGAAUCUGAAUAACGUUUGCUGAUCGCACGGUCUCGCACCGGCGACGUAUCUUUCAAAUGUCUGCCUUAUCAACUGUCGAUGGUAGGUUCUGCGCCUACCAUGGUUGUAACGGGUAACGGGGAAUCAGGGUUCGAUUCCGGAGAGGGAGCCUGAGAAACGGCUACCACAUCCAAGGAAGGCAGCAGGCGCGCAAAUUACCCACUCCCGGCACGGGGAGGUAGUGACGAAAAAUAACGAUACGGGACUCAUCCGAGGCCCCGUAAUCGGAAUGAGCACACUUUAAAUCCUUUCACGAGGAUCAAUCGGAGGGCAAGUCAGGUGCCAGCAGCCGCGGUAAUUCCUGCUCCGAUAGCGUAU
rnacentral:rRNA from 4 species